rnacentral:rRNA from 1 species
GACGAACGCUGGCGGCGUGCUUAACACAUGCAAGUCGAACGGAAAGGCCCCACCUUGCUGGCGUGGAUCAGUGGCGAACGGGUGAGUAACACGUGAGCAACCUGCCCCUGACUCUGGAAUAAGCGCUGGAAACUGCGUCUAAUACGGGAUACGAGAUGCUUCUGCAUGGGCACUUUCUGUAAAUUUUUUCGGUUGGGGAUGGGCUCGCGGCCUAUCAGCUUGUUGGUGGGGUAAUGGCUCACCAAGGCGACGACAGGUAGCCGGCCUGAGAGGGCGACCGGCCACACUGGGACUGAGACACGGCCCAGACUCCUACGGGAGGCAGCAGUGGGGAAUAUUGCACAAUGGGCGAAAGCCUGAUGCAGCGACGCCGCGUGAGGGAUGACGGCCUUCGGGUUGUAAACCUCUUUCAGCAGGGAAGAAGCGAAAGUGACGGUACCUGGAGAAGAAGCACCGGCUAACUACGUG